rnacentral:rRNA from 1 species
GCAAGUCGAGCGGUAACAGGUCUUCGGAUGCUGACGAGCGGCGGCCGGGUGAGUAACGCGUAGGAAUCUGCCCGGAGGUGGGGGAUAGCCCGGAGAAAUCCGGAUUAAUACCGAAUAAUCCCUGAGGAGGAAAGGGGGCUUCGGCUCUCGCUACUGGAGGAGCCUGAGUCGGAUUAGCUAGUUGGUGGGGUAAAGGCUUACCAAGGCGACGAUCCGUAGCUGGUCUGAGAGGAUGAUC